rnacentral:rRNA from 1 species
AGCGAACGCUGGCGGCAGGCCUAACACAUGCAAGUCGAACGGAUCCUUCGGGAUUAGUGGCGGACGGGUGAGUAACACGUGGGAACGUGCCUUUUGGUUCGGAGCAACACAGGGAAACUUGUGCUAAUACCGGAUAAGCCCUUACGGGGAAAGGAUUUAUCGCCUUUGGUAGCGGCCCGCGUCUGAUUAGCUUGUUGGUGAGGUAAAGGCUCACCAAGGCUACGAUCAGUAGCUGGUCUGAGAGGAUGGCCAGCCAC